rnacentral:rRNA from 1 species
GACGAACCACACGACCGUUAUUCGGAAUUACUGGGCUUAAAGGGUGCGUAGGCGGCGCAGAAAGUUGGGUGUGAAAUCCCUCGGCUCAACCGAGGAACUGCGCCCAAAACUACUGUGCUUGAGGAAGAUAGAGGUAAGCGGAACUUACGGUGGAGCGGUGAAAUGCGUUGAUAUCGUAAGGAACACCUGUGGCGAAAGCAGCUUACUGGGCCUUUUCUGACGCUGAUGCACGAAAGCCAGGGGAGCAAACGGG